GGAGACAUAGCUUAGUAGGUAAAGUGCUUGCCUUGCAAGCAAGAGGGCUGGAGUUCGAUUCCU
rnacentral:tRNA from 1 species